AAGGUAGCAUAAUCACUUGUUCUUUAAAUGAGGACUCGUAUCAACGGCAUCACGAGGAUCCUACUGUCUCCCCCCUCUAAUCGGUGAAACUGAUCUCUCCGUGAAGAAGCGGAGAUGUACAUAUAAGACGAGAAGACCCCAUGGAGCUUUAAACCCAACAACACCCGCCCCCCUCCAAAUCCUAUUAUUUACCCGGUGAUUGUUUGUUUGGUUUUAGGUUGGGGUGACCGCGGAGUAUAAGAUAUCCUCCAUGAAAAAAGCUAACUGCCCUUAUUAGAGAAAGACACUUCCAAAAAAUAAUAAAUUAAUUUUAAAUGAUCCGACAUUCGAUCAACGAACCAAGUUACCCUGGGGAUAACAGCGCAAUCCGUCCCGAGAGCCCCUAUCGACAGGCGGGUUUACGACCUCGAUGUUGGAUCAGGGUAUCCCAGUGGUGCAGCAGCUACUAAAGGUUCGUUUGUUCAACGAUUAAAACCCU
rnacentral:rRNA from 1 species